rnacentral:lncRNA from 1 species
CUUCUUCUUCUCCUCCUCCCUCUCCUCCUUCUUCUCCUCAUUUUUCCUAUUCCUUCCUUUCGUUUUCCUCUUUUUCUCUUCUUGUCCCCUUCUUCGGGCUAAAUUGGCUAAGGAUGCCUUUUUGGAGCUAAUUAUGUCAUUCCGAGGAUAAUUAGCUAAGCAUAGGUCAUUUUUUAUUAAAUAGGCCAUUUGGAGCUAACUAAGCUAAUUAUGUCAUUUCGGAGGAUAAUU